CAGGAUGAAGGUGCGGUAACACGCCCUGGAGGUCCGAACCCACUAAUGUUGAAAAAUUAGGGGAUGAGCUGUGGGUAGGGGUGAAAGGCCAAUCAAACUCCGUGAUAGCUGGUUCUCCCCGAAAUGCAUUUAGGUGCAGCGUCGUGUGUUUCAUCUUGGAGGUAGAGCUACUGGAUGGUCAAGGGGGCUUAUCCGCUUACCAACACCAGCCAAACUCCGAAUGCCAGGAUGUGAGAGCACGGCAGUGAGACUGUGGGGGAUAAGCUUCAUAGUCGAGAGGGAAACAGCCCAGAUCGCCGGCUAAGGCCCCUAAGCGUGUACUAAGUGGAAAAGGAUGUGGGAUCGCUUAGACAACCAGGAGGUUGGCUCAGAAGCAGCCACCCUUGAAAGAGUGCGUAAUAGCUCACUGGUCAAGUGGUCCUGCGCCGACAAUGUAGUGGGGCUCAAGUACACCGCCGAAGCCGCGGCAUUCCUUUUUGGGAUGGGUAGGGGAGCGUCGUGUAUCCGUUGAAGCUGCAGAGUGAUCUAGUGGUGGAGGGUAUGCGAGUGAGAAUGCAGGCAUGAGUAGCGUGUGACGGGUGGGAAUCCCGUCCGCCGAUUAUCCAAGGGUUCCAGGGUCAAGUUUGUCUGCCCUGGGUGAGUCGGGUCCUAAGGCGAGGCCGACAGGCGUAGUCGAUGGGUAACCAGUUGAUAUUCUGGUACCGGCUUGUCACCGUCCGUGUCGAGGUGUGUGAUGCUAAGCAUGUGAGCUUGUCUUGGGAGUGUUUUUGAUGCUUCUGGGGUGGGUGAGUGUGUGAACCGAUCAUGUAGUAGGCAAGCUGCGGAGGGACGCAGUGAGGUAGCUCAUCCCCGGUGAUGGUUGUCCGGGGCUAAGUGUGUGGACUGUCUGGUAGGUAAAUCCGCUGGGCGUGAAGGUUGAGGCAUGAUGGGGAGCCCAUGGUUGUGGGUGAGUGAGUGAUCCUGUACUGUCGAGAAAAGCUUCGUGAGCGAGGUGGCGGGUCCGCCCGUACCCUAAACCGACACUGGUGGAUAGGUAGAGUAUACCGAGGCGAUCGAGUGAAUCGUGGUGAAGGAACUCGGCAAAAUGCCCCCGUAACUUUGGGAUAAGGGGGACCUGAGCUGUCGUGCACCCGUGCGGUGUGGUGGCGGUGAGGGGCGCAGAGUCCAGGGGGAAACGACUGUUUACCAAAAACACAGGUCCGUGCGAAGACGUAAGUCGAUGUAUACGGACUGACGCCUGCCCGGUGCUGGAAGGUUAAGAGGACUGGUUAGUGGCCCUUGUGGCUGCGAAGCUGAGAAUUUAAGCCCCAGUAAACGGCGGUGGUAACUAUAACCAUCCUAAGGUAGCGAAAUUCCUUGUCGGGUAAGUUCCGACCUGCACGAAUGGCGUAACGACUUCCCCACUGUCUCCAGGAUAUGCUCAGCGAAAUUGAAUUCUCCGUGAAGAUGCGGAGUACCCGCGGUUAGACGGAAAGACCCCGUGCACCUUUACUGCAGCUUCAGAGUGGCAUUGGACAAGAACUGUGUAGCAUAGGUGGGAGGCUUUGAAGCAUUGGCGCCAGCCGA
rnacentral:rRNA from 1 species